AACAAUGGGCAGUAGGAGGGGAGUGGAGUGGCCUCAACAGAGAGGCCCCUCUUCCUCCCUCAAUUCCAGGGUGUGCCUGAGAGAGAGCUUCUGUGCUUCGCUCCAAAAAAAAGAUGGUGAAAUUGAGGUUCAUUUCAGGAAUUAUGGAACUUGCUGGAAGUCAUGCAGCUACUAAGUGAUAGAGACAUUAGUCUGAGGAGUCUUGUGGCCAUUUUGAAAUGUUAGAGUCCUAGGGAAAGAAAAAUCAUGGAAUUUCCAUAUUCAUGGAAAAACAGGACCUUCUCAGAUGACUAAAAGAAAUCAAAAUUCCAUUCACAAAAGAAAAAAGUUACAUGAAAUGUGUCUUUAGGAUAAAUUCCCAGAAAUGGAAUUGCUCUGGAUGCCCUGCACUGCUGAUUUGAUACAGAUUGCCAAAUGGCCUGAAGAGUUACUUUUCAAAUUUUAGGUCCCAGAUGUCCAGUUAUGGUGGAGCCCUCCCUACCUUUAAGCUCACUGUGAGCUCCCCAGAUUCUGCAAGAAAGGCCAGGGUAGAGAAAAUACCCGGCGAAAAACACAACUAACCUGUGCCUGGUUCUGGAAGGUUCUUCACGCACAUUAUCUUGUGCAAGCCACAGAUCAUUCUUAAGAAGCUGGUAUCGUCUGAUCUACUUUAUAUAUGAAGACUCGGAAGCUCAGAAGCUGGAUAAAUUCCUCAAAGAGAGAAGUUUGCUAUUGAAACUUGACUUUAUGGGGCCACAAAAUGCCCUGGGCACUUGGAGGAUGAGUAGUAAAAGUAGGGUGAAGAGGCCAA